AUGGGGCGGAUUGGGCAGCUGCGCCACCCCAACAUCGUGCCGCUGCUGGGGUUCUGUGUUGUUGAGGAGGAGCGGCUGCUGGUGUACAAGCAUAUGGAGAGUGGGGCUCUUUCCAAGGUGAUGAAGGAGCCAGGGGAGACAUUGCUGGAUUGGGCGACGCGGCUCAGGAUUGCUGUUGGGGCGGCGCGUGGUCUUGCGUGGCUGCACCAUGGUUUCCAGAUGCCACAGAUUCACCAGAACUUGAGCUCAAGCGCGGUGCUUCUCGACGAGGACUAUGAGGCUCGGAUCACAGAUGUUGGGCUCACAAGGCUGGUCCGGAUGGCCCCAGGUGAAGGUGGAGAUACAAGCCCCUUCCUCAAUGGCGACUUCGGGGAGUUUGGGUAUGUUGCCCCAGAGUAUGCUAGCAAUCCAGUUGGUACCAUGAAGGGUGAUACAUAUGCUUUUGGGGUCAUACUAUUGGAGCUCGUGAGCGGGCAGGAGGCUGCCUCUGUGUCAAGUGAUGUGGGUGAAGGAUUCAAGGGGACAUUGGUGGAUUGGGUAUAUCAGCUCAAGAGCACCGGCCGAAUCGCCGAUGCUGUGGAUAAGUCAUUGAAGGGCUCUGAUGCAGAGAUCAGCGAGUUCUUGAAGGUGGCUUUUCAGUGUAUUGUGGCUCGGCCAAAGGAGAGGAUCUCAAUGUACAGGGUUUACCACUCUCUGAAGAGCAUUGGAACGGGCCGUGAUGUCUCGGAGCAGUUUGACGAAUUUCCGCUGGCCUAUAACAAGGACGACGCGGACACCUGA
rnacentral:rRNA from 1 species